rnacentral:rRNA from 1 species
GACGAACGCUGGCGGCGUGCUUAACACAUGCAAGUCGAACGGAAAGGCCCUGCUUUUGUGGGGUGCUCGAGUGGCGAACGGGUGAGUAACACGUGAGUAACCUGCCCUUGACUUUGGGAUAACUUCAGGAAACUGGGGCUAAUACCGGAUAGGAGCUCCUGCUGCAUGGUGGGGGUUGGAAAGUUUCGGCGGUUGGGGAUGGACUCGCGGCUUAUCAGCUUGUUGGUGGGGUAGUGGCUUACCAAGGCUUUGACGGGUAGCCGGCCUGAGAGGGUGACCGGCCACAUUGGGACUGAGAUACGGCCCAGACUCCUCCGGGAGGCAGCAGUGGGGAAUAUUGCACAAUGGGCGGAAGCCUGAUGCAGCAACGCCGCGUGCGGGAUGACGGCCUUCGGGUUGUAAACCGCUUUCGCCUGUGACGAAGCGUGAGUGACGGUAAUGGGUAAAGAAGCACCGGCUAACUACGUG